ensembl:lncRNA H19 H19 imprinted maternally expressed transcript
AGGGUGAGGGAGGGGGUGGGAUGGGUGGGGGGUAACGGGGGAAACUGGGGAAGUGGGGAACCGAGGGGCAACCAGGGGAAGAUGGGGUGCUGGAGGAGAGCUUGUGGGAGCCAAGGAGCACCUUGGACAUCUGGAGUCUGGCAGGAGUGAUGACGGGUGGAGGGGCUAGCUCGAGGCAGGGCUGGUGGGGCCUGAGGCCAGUGAGGAGUGUGGAGUAGGCGCCCAGGCAUCGUGCAGACAGGGCGACAUCAGCUGGGGACGAUGGGCCUGAGCUAGGGCUGGAAAGAAGGGGGAGCCAGGCAUUCAUCCCGGUCACUUUUGGUUACAGGACGUGGCAGCUGGUUGGACGAGGGGAGCUGGUGGGCAGGGUUUGAUCCCAGGGCCUGGGCAACGGAGGUGUAGCUGGCAGCAGCGGGCAGGUGAGGACCCCAUCUGCCGGGCAGGUGAGUCCCUUCCCUCCCCAGGCCUCGCUUCCCCAGCCUUCUGAAAGAAGGAGGUUUAGGGGAUCGAGGGCUGGCGGGGAGAAGCAGACACCCUCCCAGCAGAGGGGCAGGAUGGGGGCAGGAGAGUUAGCAAAGGUGACAUCUUCUCGGGGGGAGCCGAGACUGCGCAAGGCUGGGGGGUUAUGGGCCCGUUCCAGGCAGAAAGAGCAAGAGGGCAGGGAGGGAGCACAGGGGUGGCCAGCGUAGGGUCCAGCACGUGGGGUGGUACCCCAGGCCUGGGUCAGACAGGGACAUGGCAGGGGACACAGGACAGAGGGGUCCCCAGCUGCCACCUCACCCACCGCAAUUCAUUUAGUAGCAGGCACAGGGGCAGCUCCGGCACGGCUUUCUCAGGCCUAUGCCGGAGCCUCGAGGGCUGGAGAGCGGGAAGACAGGCAGUGCUCGGGGAGUUGCAGCAGGACGUCACCAGGAGGGCGAAGCGGCCACGGGAGGGGGGCCCCGGGACAUUGCGCAGCAAGGAGGCUGCAGGGGCUCGGCCUGCGGGCGCCGGUCCCACGAGGCACUGCGGCCCAGGGUCUGGUGCGGAGAGGGCCCACAGUGGACUUGGUGACGCUGUAUGCCCUCACCGCUCAGCCCCUGGGGCUGGCUUGGCAGACAGUACAGCAUCCAGGGGAGUCAAGGGCAUGGGGCGAGACCAGACUAGGCGAGGCGGGCGGGGCGGAGUGAAUGAGCUCUCAGGAGGGAGGAUGGUGCAGGCAGGGGUGAGGAGCGCAGCGGGCGGCGAGCGGGAGGCACUGGCCUCCAGAGCCCGUGGCCAAGGCGGGCCUCGCGGGCGGCGACGGAGCCGGGAUCGGUGCCUCAGCGUUCGGGCUGGAGACGAGGGUCUCCAGCUGGGGUGGACGUGCCCACCAGCUGCCGAAGGCCAAGACGCCAGGUCCGGUGGACGUGACAAGCAGGACAUGACAUGGUCCGGUGUGACGGCGAGGACAGAGGAGGCGCGUCCGGCCUUCCUGAACACCUUAGGCUGGUGGGGCUGCGGCAAGAAGCGGGUCUGUUUCUUUACUUCCUCCACGGAGUCGGCACACUAUGGCUGCCCUCUGGGCUCCCAGAACCCACAACAUGAAAGAAAUGGUGCUACCCAGCUCAAGCCUGGGCCUUUGAAUCCGGACACAAAACCCUCUAGCUUGGAAAUGAAUAUGCUGCACUUUACAACCACUGCACUACCUGACUCAGGAAUCGGCUCUGGAAGCUAGAGGAACCAGACCUCAUCAGCCCAACAUCAAAGACACCAUCGGAACAGCAGCGCCCGCAGCACCCACCCCGCACCGGCGACUCCAUCUUCAUGGCCACCCCCUGCGGCGGACGGUUGACCACCAGCCACCACAUCAUCCCAGAGCUGAGCUCCUCCAGCGGGAUGACGCCGUCCCCACCACCUCCCUCUUCUUCUUUUUCAUCCUUCUGUCUCUUUGUUUCUGAGCUUUCCUGUCUUUCCUUUUUUCUGAGAGAUUCAAAGCCUCCACGACUCUGUUUCCCCCGUCCCUUCUGAAUUUAAUUUGCACUAAGUCAUUUGCACUGGUUGGAGUUGUGGAGACGGCCUUGAGUCUCAGUACGAGUGUGCGUGAGUGUGAGCCACCUUGGCAAGUGCCUGUGCAGGGCCCGGCCGCCCUCCAUCUGGGCCGGGUGACUGGGCGCCGGCUGUGUGCCCGAGGCCUCACCCUGCCCUCGCCUAGUCUGGAAGCUCCGACCGACAUCACGGAGCAGCCUUCAAGCAUUCCAUUACGCCCCAUCUCGCUCUGUGCCCCUCCCCACCAGGGCUUCAGCAGGAGCCCUGGACUCAUCAUCAAUAAACACUGUUACAGCAA